GAUGAACGCUGGCGGCGUGCCUAAUACAUGCAAGUCGAGCGAACGGACGAGAAGCUUGCUUUUCUGAUGUUAGCGGCGGACGGGUGAGUAACACGUGGAUAACCUACCUAUAAGACUGGGAUAACUUCGGGAAACCGGAGCUAAUACCGGAUAAUAUUUUGAACCGCAUGGUUCAAAAGUGAAAGACGGUCUUGCUGUCACUUAUAGAUGGAUCCGCGCUGCAUUAGCUAGUUGGUAAGGUAACGGCUUACCAAGGCAACGAUGCAUAGCCGACCUGAGAGGGUGAGCGGCAACGAGGAAGAGGAGACGGGACCCAGCCUCCUAGGGGGGGCAGGAGGAGGAAAUCGUCCGCAAGGGGCGAAAGCCUGAGGGAGCAGCGCCGGGGGGGUGAUAAAGGUUUUAGUAUCAAAAAACACCUUUAUGGGGAAAAAACAGAUGGGAAAGAAGCGGUACACAUUUGGAGGUAACCAAACGAGAGAGCAGCGGAUACCUGGGU
rnacentral:rRNA from 1 species